rnacentral:lncRNA from 1 species
GAUCGGGAAAAAUUCCCUUCUAAAAAUCAGGCCCCGCCCACCGGGUUUAGCCCCGCCCCCUAUAGGGAUAAUAAUGAUUCCCAUUGUCACGUGAGGCCCCGCCCACUUUUAUUGUGUGAGCAACCGAGUGUCCCCUGUCCCCAAGGGUCCCAUUGUCCCCAAGGUGUCACUCACACCUGUCCUGUGUCCCCAGGGUGCCACCCACACCUGUCCCGUGUCCCCAAGGGUCCCAUUGUCCCCAAGGUGUCACUCACACCUGUCCCCUGUCCCCAAGGGUCCCAUUGUCCCCAAGGUGUCACUCACACCUGUCCUGUGUCCCCAAGGUGCCACCCACCCCUGUCCCGUGUCCCCAAGGUGCCACCCACACCUGUCCCGUGUCCCCAAGGGUCCCAUUGUCCCCAAGGUGUCACCUACACCUGUCCUGUGUCCCCAAGGUGCCACCCACCCAUGUCCCGUGUCCCUGAGGGUGUCCCUGUGUCCCCAAGGGUGCCACCCACCCAUGUCCCAUUGUCCCCAAGGGUGUCACCUACACCUGUCCCCAUGUCCCUGAGGGUGUCCCAUUGUCCCCAAGGGUCCCUUAAUUAGGGUCCAGUGUCCCCAGGGGUCACACCCACCUGUGUCCCCAAGGUGCCACUCACCUGUGUCCCAUAUUCCUAAAGGUGUACCUGUGUCCCCAAGGGUGUCAGCUACACACCUGUCCCAUGUCCCUAAGGUGCCACCUGUGUCCCCAAGGUGUCACCUACACUUGUGUCCCCACGUCCCUGAGGGUGCCCCCCACCCCUGUCCCGUGUCCCUAAAGGUGUCCCAUUGUCCCCAAGGGUCCCUUAAUUAGGGUCCAGGGUCCCCAGGGGUUGCACCCACCUGUGUCCCAUUGUCCCCAAGGGUGCCACCCACCCCUGCCCGGUGUCCCCAAGGGUGUCACCUACACACCUGUCCCCAUGUCCCUGAGGUGCCACCUGUGUCUCCAAGGUGUCACCUACACCUGUGUCCACAUGUCCCUGAGGGUGUCCCUGUGUCCCCAAGGGUGUCACCCACCCAUAUCCCCUGUCCCCAUUGUCCCCAAGGUGCCACCCACCCCUGCCCAGUGUCCCUGAGGGUGUCCCUGUGUCCCCAAGGGUCACUCCAUC